GGGCUUGUGGCCUAGUUGGUUAAGGCGUGGCUCUUAUGCGAUGGUCUCUCUAUGGGACGUUGUCAUGAUAAUAUUAGCCGAAAUCGGGAGUUCGAGCCUCCCCUGGCCCA
rfam:Penicillium brasilianum genome assembly, contig: SCAF2